GUCUCUGCAGGAUCUUCAGGACUCAGCUGCUGCUCUGACUCACUGUGACCGGAUGAACUUGUCUCUUCACUCCUUCAUCGGUUCAUCCCUCCACCCCCCCCUUCAGCCAGAGGAUCUGAUGAGAGGUCGGCAGAGAGCGGAGAGAGGAGAACACCUGUCAUGGCCACUGUGGACGGUGUAGGCACUCUGGCUGCGGAGCAGAACCACCUGAGCGUCACCGAUCAUGGAGCCUGGGCCACAGCCAUGAACAACCUGGGCAUCAUGCCUGUGGGCAUCAGUGGACAACCGCUGGUGUCAG